AGGAGGGAAGCUGAGGCUCAGAGACAUCAUGAGGAUGCCAGCUCAAGGCCCAGCCAGGCCUUGGUCCUCAGCUGCUGUCAUCCAGUAGGCUCAAGCCCAGAGGCCUCCAGGGUGUCCAGCCUCCAGGGUGCCUCCUACGCAGCCUCCACGUCCCCAUCCACUGCAGCCCCUGACCAUCGGGCACACCGUGGGGCCUUCGCUGGCCGCCGGGCCUCAGGUUCUGCUGCACCAAGUGAUUUUUAAAGCCCCAUCUGCCUUUCUCCACUUAUAAAGAACUUGGGACAUUUCCUCGAGGUUGGGCAUUUUUCCAGAUGUGGUUUCAGUGUCUCGCUUGCUACCUGGUCCCCUGUGCUGGGCGGUCCGCUGUGACGCACCUGGCAGUCCUUGCUCUAGGAUGGAUUCGGGCCGGCCCUUGUUCUGAGAACAGAGAACGGCCC
rnacentral:lncRNA from 10 species